GUGUUGAAUGAAAACAGAGAAGCUUAGCACUCCCCUUGACAGAAAUGGAAGAGGCCCUUGGGCUUAACAACACCCACAUGCUUAAGGUGGUGCCACCUACUUCAGAAGCAGAAGCAGAAGCAAGG